rnacentral:rRNA from 1 species
UACGUAGGGUGCAAGCGUUAUCCGGAAUUAUUGGGCGUAAAGAGCUCGUAGGCGGUCUGUUGCGUCCGCUGUGAAAACUCGGGGCUUAACCCCGAGCCUGCAGUGGAUACGGGCAGACUAGAGGUAGGUAGGGGAGAAUGGAAUUCCCGGUGUAGCGGUGAAAUGCGCAGAUAUCGGGAGGAACACCGGUGGCGAAGGCGGUUCUCUGGGCCGUUACCUGACGCUGAGGAGCGAAAGCGUG